GAGAUUUUCGCAAUGCCCGAAAGGGUGACGAAGCGACGCCGCGUGCGGGAAGAAGGCCUUCGGGUUGUAAACCGCUGUCGGGAGUUAAGAAAUGUAAGGAUGUUAAUAGCAUCUUUACUUGACUAAGGCUCCGGAGGAAGCCACGGCUAACUCUGUGCCAGCAGCCGCGGUAAUACAGAGGCGGCAAGCGUUGUUCGGAAUUAUUGGGCGUAAAGAGCACGUAGGCGGCUAUGUAAGUCGGUUGUGAAAGCCUUCCGCUCAACGGGAGAACAGCAUCCGAUACUGCAUGCUUGAGUGCGGGAGGGGAGAGUGGAACUUCUGGUGGAGCGGUGAAAUGCGUAGAUAUCAGAAGGAACGCCGGCGGCGAAAGCGGCUCUCUGGCCCAUAACUGACGCUGAGUGUGCGAAAGCUAGGGGAGCAAACGGGAUUAGAUACCCCGGUAGCCCUAGCCGUAAACGAUGGGCACUAAGUAGAGGGGUUUUA
rnacentral:rRNA from 1 species